rnacentral:rRNA from 1 species
UACGGAGGAUGCGAGCGUUAUCCGGAUUUAUUGGGUUUAAAGGGUGCGUAGGCGGACUGUCAAGUCAGCGGUAAAAUUGAGAGGCUCAACCUCUUCCCGCCGUUGAAACUGGUGGUCUUGAGUGGAUGAGAAGUACGCGGAAUGCGUGGUGUAGCGGUGAAAUGCACAGAUAUCACGCAGAACUCCGAUUGCGAAGGCAGCGUACCGGCAUCCAACUGACGCUGAGGCACGAAAGCGUGGGGAUCAAACAGG